UACGUAGGGUGCGAGCGUUGUCCGGAAUUAUUGGGCGUAAAGAGCUCGUAGGCGGUCUGUCGCGUCGAUCGUGAAAACUUGGGGCUUAACCCUGAGCUUGCGGUCGAUACGGGCAUGACUGGAGUUCGGCAGGGGAGACUGGAAUUCCUGGUGUAGCGGUGAAAUGCGUAGAUAUCUGGAGGAAUACCGGUGGCGAAGGCGGCAUCCUGGACCAUUACUGACGCUGAAUCGCGAAAGCUAGGGGAGCAAACGGGG
rnacentral:rRNA from 1 species